rnacentral:rRNA from 1 species
GACGAACGCUGGCGGCGUGCUUAACACAUGCAAGUCGAACGGAAAGGCCCUGCUUUUGUGGGGUGCUCGAGUGGCGAAAGGGUGAGUAACACGUGAGUAACCUGCCCUUGACUUUGGGAUAACUUCAGGAAACUGGGGCUAAUACCGGAUAGGAGCUCCUGCUGCAUGGUGGGGGUUGGAAAGUUUCGGCGGUUGGGGAUGGACUCGCGGCUUAUCAGCUUGUUGGUGGGGUAGUGGCUUACCAAGGCUUUGACGGGUAGCCGGCCUGAGAGGGUGACCGGCCACAUUGGGACUGAGAUACCGCCCAGACUCCUACGGGAGGCAGCAGUGGGGAAUAUUGCACAAUGGGCGGAAGCCUGAUGCAGCAACGCCGCGUGCGGGAUGACGGCCUUCGGGUUGUAAACCGCUUGCGCCUGUGACGAAGCGUGAGUGACGGUAAUGGGUAAAGAAGCACCGGCUAACUACGUG